UGAAUCCGCGCGGGAGAGUCCCCGGCAGCAUGUCUGCACGGGGCGCCGAAGGAGCAAGUCCCUCCCUUGAAUCUCUCAGGCCCCGUUACCGCGCGGGCGAG
rnacentral:ncRNA from 2 species